rnacentral:rRNA from 1 species
AUUGAACGCUGGCGGCAGGCCUAACACAUGCAAGUCGAACGAGUGGCGGACGGGUGAGUAAUGCUUGGGAAACUGCCUGAUGGAGGGGGAUAACUACGGGAAACUGUAGCUAAUACCGCGUACCAUAGGAUGAGCCCAAGUGGGAUUAGGUAGUUGGUGGGGUAAAGGCUCACCAAGGCGACGAUCCCUAGCUGGUCUGAGAGGAUGACCAGCCAGACUGGAACUGAGACACGGCCCAGACUCCUACGGGAGGCAGCAGUGGGGAAUAUUGCACAAUGGGCGCAAGCCUGAUGCAGCCAUGCCGCGUGUAUGAAGAAGGCCUUAGGGUUGUAAAGUACUUUCAGCGGGGAGGCGUUACCCGCAGAAGAAGCACCGGCUAACUCCGUGCCAGCCGCCGCGGUAAUUC